rnacentral:rRNA from 1 species
AUUUGCCUUUAGGAGGGGGACAACAACUGGAAACGGUUGCUAAUACCCCAUAUGCUUUCGAGUGAAAUGGAUUUCCGCCUAAAGAGAAGCUUGCGGCUGAUUAGCUUGUUGGUAGGGUAAUGGCCUACCAAGGCGACGAUCAGUAUCUGGUUUGAGAGGACGAUCAGACACACUGGAACUGAGACACGGUCCAGACUCCUACGGGAGGCAGCAGUAGGGAAUUUUCCGCAAUGGGCGAAAGCCUGACGGAGCAAUACCGCGUGAGGGAUGACUGCCUAUGGGUUGUAAACCUCUUUUUUCAGGGAGGAAUAAAAUGACGUGUACCUGAAGAAUAAGCAUCGGCUAACUCCGUGCCAGCAGCCGCGGUAAGACGGAGGAUGCAAGUGUUAUCCGGAAUCAUUGGGCGUAAAGCGUCUGUAGGUGGCUCAAUAAGUCAACUGUUAAAUCUUGAAGCUCAACUUCGAAAUCGCAGUCGAAACUAUUGGACUAGAGUAUAGUAGAGGUAAAGGGAAUUUCCAGUGGAGCGGUGAAAUGCGUAGAGAUUGGAAAGAACACCGAUGGCGAAGGCACUCUACUGGACUAUUACUGACACUCAGAGACGAAAGCUAGGGUAGCAAAUGG